AUUAGAGUUUGAUCAUGGCUCAGAAUGAACGCUGGCGGCAUGCCUAACACAUGCAAGUCGAACGGCAGCGCGGGAGCAAUCCUGGCGGCGAGUGGCGAACGGGUGAGUAAUAUAUCGGAACGUGCCCAGUAGUGGGGGAUAGCCCGGCGAAAGCCGGAUUAAUACCGCAUACGACCUGAGGGUGAAAGCGGGGGAUCGCAAGACCUCGCGCUACUGGAGCGGCCGAUAUCAGAUUAGCUAGUUGGUGGGGUAAAGGCCUACCAAGGCAACGAUCUGUAGUUGGUCUGAGAGGACGACCAGCCACACUGGGACUGAGACACGGCCCAGACUCCUACGGGAGGCAGCAGUGGGGAAUUUUGGACAAUGGGCGCAAGCCUGAUCCAGCAAUGCCGCGUACAGGAAGAAGGCCUUCGGGUUGUAAACUGCUUUUGUCAGGGAAGAAAUCUUCUGGGCUAAUACCCCGGGAGGAUGACGGUACCUGAAGAAUAAGCACCGGCUAACUACGUGCCAGCAGCCGCGGUAAUAAUC
rnacentral:rRNA from 1 species